UUUUGAAUGCAAGUGAAGACGGACAAGUUUGAGUCGAAUUGGCGAAGGAUUAGCAACUUGUCUACCAAAUUUAGAAACAUUAGUGCUGACGAAUAACAGUAUGAAUGACUUGGUUAGUAAAUUUGAUACUGUA